CUUUACAAUGCUGGCAACAGCGAUAAGGGAACCUCGAGUGCCAGGUUACAAAUCUGGCUGUCGAGAUGCCUAAAAAGCAUUUCAUAGCAAGGGCCGGGCAAGACCGGUGCCAGCCGCCGCGGUAACACCGGCGGCUCGAGUGGUAACCGUUAUUAUUGGGUCUAAAGGGUCUGUAGCCGGCCGGAUAAGUCUCUUGAGAAAUCUGGCAGCUUAACUGUCAGGCUUUCAGGAGAUACUGUCUGGCUCGAGGCCGGGAGAGGUGAGAGGUACUUCAGGGGUAGGGGUGAAAUCUUGUAAUCCUUGAAGGACCACCAGUGGCGAAGGCGUCUCACCAGAACGGACCUGACGGCAAGGGACGAAAGCUAGGGGCACGAACCGGAUUAGAUACCCGGGUAGUCCUAGCCGUAAACGAUACUCGCUAGGUGUCGGCCACGGUGCGACCGUUGUCGGUGCCGUAGGGAAGCCGUGAAGCGAG
rnacentral:rRNA from 1 species